rnacentral:rRNA from 1 species
AACCCCUGUGAACAUACCAAUUGUUGCCUCGGCGGAUCAGCCCGCUCCCGGUAAAACGGGACGGCCCGCCAGAGGACCCCUAAACUCUGUUUCUAUAUGUAACUUCUGAGUAAAACCAUAAAUAAAUCAAAACUUUCAACAACGGAUCUCUUGGUUCUGGCAUCGAUGAAGAACGCAGCAAAAUGCGAUAAGUAAUGUGAAUUGCAGAAUUCAGUGAAUCAUCGAAUCUUUGAACGCACAUUGCGCCCGCCAGUAUUCUGGCGGGCAUGCCUGUUCGAGCGUCAUUUCAACCCUCAAGCCCUCGGGUUUGGUGUUGGGGAUCGGCGAGCCCUUGCGGCAAGCCGGCCCCGAAAUCUAGUGGCGGUCUCGCUGCAGCUUCCAUUGCGUAGUAGUAAAACCCUCGCAACUGGUACGCGGCGCGGCCAAGCCGUUAAACCCCCAACUUCUGAAUGUUGACCUCGGAUCAGGUAGGAAUACCCG